rnacentral:misc_RNA from 1 species
AAAGUCGUAACAAGGUCUCCGUUGGUGAACCAGCGGAGGGAUCAUUACAGAGUUGCAAAACUCCCAAACCAUUGUGAACGUCACCGUAUCGUUUCUUCGGCGGGCGGCUCCCCACCCGGGGCCGCGCCUACCCCUCACGGGGUGGCAGCCCGCCGGAGGCGUCGAAACUCUCAGCAUCUUAUGGCAUCUCUGAGUAACUUACAAAAUAAGUUAAAACUUUCAACAACGGAUCUCUUGGUUCUG